GGGAAGGAAGGGGUGACUAGUGACAGAGUGAGGGAAGGAAGGGGUGACUAGUGACAGUGAGGGAGGUGUUGACUGUCACUAGUCACCCCCUCCGUCCCUUACUCUGUCACUAGUCACCCCCUAACUCACUCAGUCACCAGUCAUCCCCUCACUGUCACCAGUCAUCCCCUCACUGUCACCAGUCAUCCCCUUCCUUCCC